UACGUAGGGCGCGAGCGUUGUCCGGAUUUAUUGGGCGUAAAGAGCUCGUAGGCGGCUUGUCGCGUCGACUGUGAAAUCCCGCGGCUCAACUGCGGGUCUGCAGUCGAUACGGGCAGGCUAGAAUUCGGUAGGGGAGACUGGAAUUCCUGGUGUAGCGGUGAAAUGCGCAGAUAUCAGGAGGAACACCGAUGGCGAAGGCAGGUCUCUGGGCCGAUACUGACGCUGAGGAGCGAAAGCGUGGGGAGCGAACAGG
rnacentral:rRNA from 1 species